rnacentral:rRNA from 1 species
AUUGACCUCAGAUCAGACAAGAUUACCCGCCGAAUUUAAGCAUAUUACUAAGCGGAGGAAAAGAAACUAACAAGGAUUCCCCUAGUAACGGCGAGCGAACCGGGAAGAGCCCAACUUGAAAAUCUGGCAGCUUCGUUGUCCGAAUUGUAGUCUAAAGAAGCGUCCUCUGUAGCGGACCGGGCCCAAGUUCCCUGGAAUGGGACGUCAGAGAGGGUGAGAGCCCCGUCGACCCCGGACCCUGCUACUCCACGAGGCGCUGUCGCCGAGUCGGGUUGUUUGGGAAUGCAGCCCUAAAUGGGUGGUAAAUUCCAUCUAAGGCUAAAUACU